AGUUGAACUGAGUUUGUUAUGAACUGUAACAUGACGACACAUUCAGUCAGCUGCAGUAUCUCAGUAAAGGCUGUUGAACUGAACUGUUAGACGCUCCAUUACUGACACUGCAGUUCCACACAGUAGAAGAGCACAGUGUGUUUUAAUGCUGCUGGAGCUCAUGGAUGUUGUUCAGUACCAGAGAACUGAGAAAUCUUCCACCCUGAACACUGAUAUUGUGUCAUUCAGAAACACAAUUAAACCAAAGAGCUGCUGCAGUUUAUUACAUCAACUAAUAAUGAGCCCAGAACAGUGUAGAAUGAAUGAUAGAAAGUGUUCAGUGACCUUACAAAAUAUUAAUAAUGACCAAAUCAAUAAUAUACAUGAUUCUGUCAAUAGACUUCAGAAACGUGUGUAUAAUUGUUUGACAUGUUUCACAACAUGAGGAAGUUGUUGGAAAAUGUGUUUGUGACUGAUCUACAGUCUUCAGGAUAAUGAUUUAAAUAGAGAGAGUCACUUUGCAUUGUCACACAUGCUUCAGUGCUCUGAGAGUGUUUAUAGUGCUGUGAGUUUAACACUUCAUGACUGAGAGCAGAACAGAAUACAAUCUUCAUCAUCACACAAGACAAAAGAACAACAAUGAACAAAAUCACCUUCUUCAUCUGGACUCUCACACUGAUCGCUCAAGAGUGUAGAGGACAGAUCACUGUAACUCAGAGUCCAUCAAUAACAGCAGCUCAACCAGGACAAGAAGUCAGAAUAAACUGUAAAACCAGCAGUAGAGUGUAUAGUGGUAAUGAGUUACACUGGUACUUACAGAAACCUGGAGAAGCUCCUAAACUCCUCAUAUAUGCAGCAACAAGCCGUAAUACUGGAACUCCAUCUAGAUUCAGUGGCAGUGGAUCUGACAGUGAUUUCACUCUGACCAUCAGUGGAGUCCAGACUGAAGAUACAGGAGAUUAUUACUGUCAGAGUGUACACUGGAUCAACAGUAAAUAUGUGUUCACACAGUGAUAAAGAGUGGUACAAAAACCUCGGUCAGUCAGACGUCACAGUGAUGCACUGAUACAGCUGAGAGAUACUGCAGCUGCUGAUGGAGGAUCACAAACAACACAAUGUUUUAUCAAACCUUUCAGAAACAUUAUUUAUUUAUUUUGAUGUACUAAGCAUGUAACACAAUCUUUAUAUUAUAUAAAUGUUAGUGGUGCUUGGCACUGCAAAACUUGCCACUACAAUGUAAUCUAACUGCAGGAAAGUCCGUCACUUUAACUGCACUUCCAUGCUUCAUCACUAGAUGGCGUGUCUGUUACAUAACUGAGUUCUCUAUCUGUCAGUCACUUUGACGUUGUGUCGAUGUGAUGACACUAGUGUAGUGUUUCUCAACCUUUUUUACUCGAUGGCCUCCUCCUUCACCAGAUCAAUACUGCAGUGCCCCCCUAAGAUGCCUGACAUUUCCUCUUAUAUUGAACUUCCACAGCAAAGAGAGAAAAGUUUUUGUAUUUAAGCCUUUUUAUUAACAUUUGUUUGCAUUAUUACUCUUCUACUGCAUGUUUUGUAAUAUUCUUUAAUAUUCUUUUUGAAAACAUAAUUGGUAAAUUAAAGCUAUGCUUUAUAACUUAAAAGAAAUCCCUCUGCUAAAUUAUAAUACUCUGAUGUUACCCAGGUCGAGUGAUUGCAUCUGUGCCAACAGAACGAUUGAGACUCCCAUCUAAAGCCUGUCGGUUCACGUCGUCCCUGAUAACAAGAACUUAAUGCUGUUGGACAGGCUGUCUCUGCUGUACAUGCCACGGACAUGAACGAGGAUAGUCCCGACCCAGCACACAUGCAGGUACUAUGCUCGUUUACCGAUUUAUUAAUAAUUAAUAAUCAUCAAUAAUUAAUAAUAAUAAUAAAAAAGUUUUCAAAAACGUAAUUUCUCUCAUCACUACAGCAAACAUUUUGAACAUGUGUAUGUUUGGCUUUAUAUUCAUUGAUACAUCAGACCAUGUAACGUUGUAUCUGGAAUGGUAAAACAUUGUUGACUUAUCUUAAGUGUCUGAAUUUCUCAGAAGCUCUUAUAGCGCUGCAGGACUAGCCUACAGCAAACACUGAACCAGACUAUUAAAUGUUGAGCAAGGGAUCUCAUUGGCUGCAGGAUCAGCAGAGACCAAUCAGCCUGAGUCAUUUGGUAUUGAUGUGAUUGCUUACAGACUGCAUGUAAAGGACCGAUCGAAGCCUGUGCCAUCUUCAGUUUCAUGACUGAACUAGAUUUCUGACAUGACAAUUCUUGGAGAGUUUAUCAUGGUAAUGAAUAUGACAAUGUUAAUGUGUUUGGUCUGCUGCUGUUGAUUAUAUCUGCUGUAGAGUACAGAACUUUCCACUGCCAAAACACACACAACAUGCUGCUGCUGUACGAGCAAACAUGAAUCACCCCAUAGCAGAUCUGGACAGGUGGAGCUGGGGGAGGUGGAGGGUUUCUGAAAGUACACUGCACUGCUACAGCAAACAAUAGACAAGUGUUUGAAUGUUGAGCAGCAAGAUCAUUGACUACUGAUACAGCAGGAAUCAUUCAGUUGUGUCCUGUAGAGAAUGAUGUGUAAAUGUGUAUGUCUGACUCUGUAUAUUUACUGUUACUGUGCUUUGGUGAUGUAAAGCCUUUCUUUUAACCCUGUCAGUAAAACUAUUGGACUCUGAA